rnacentral:rRNA from 1 species
AUGGAAGCCAUGGUGUUCAAGGCUUUGCUCCACUUCAUCUACACCGAUUCGCUGCCCGCGAUCGACGAGGGCGACGUGGCGGCGAUUGCUCAGCAUUUGCUGGUAGCGGCUGACAGGUAUGAUAUGGAGAGGCUGAAGCUAAUCUGCGAGGGGAAGCUGUGCGAUCACAUCUGCAAAAGCACGGUGGCGACUUCGCUGGCGUUGGCGGAGCAGCAUGGCUGUGGUGCUCUUAAGAAGGCAUGCUUGAAGUUUCUGACGUCUGAAGGUAACCUGAAGGCAGUGAUGGCAUCUGAUGGAUAUGAGCACCUGAGCAACAGUUGCCCAUCUGUUCUCUAUGAACUGGUCGCCAAGCUUGCUCCUUGA